rnacentral:lncRNA from 1 species
CUCCAUCAAACAACUUAAGCUUUUAGAUGAAUUGGUUACUUAACAUGCAUGAUAUAUAUUGUUUGGGCCUUCAUCUAAUAACUUAAACUUUUAGAUGAGUUGUUUACUUAACACCGUUGACUGCCUCAACAGUGGCAUAAGUCACCCUUUGGUUUUGUGCAUGAUCAUGGAACCCACAAACCAAGUAAGAAAUAACAACAAACCACCACAAAUCUG